rnacentral:lncRNA from 1 species
GAUGUUGCUGACGAACUUCUUGUCGUCCACCACCACGCUGAGCUGGCACGCGCGGGGGGCGAAGACGUGCAGGGGUUCGGGGAACAUGGGCAACUUCUCGCCGGGAGCCGCCGCCAGGACGAUGGCUCUGCGCCGCGUCUGCGCCACGCCGUACUGCCCGGCCUGCGCACACAGCGGGCGGCGCUGAGGGCGUCCACCGGGGAGCAACCGGGGGGCAAGCGGGGGGCAAGCGGGGGGCAACUGGGGGGCUGCGGGCCUUCGUGGCCACCGGGGAAUGCGGUUGGCUCAUGGUCAACUCUUGGUCAACCACUGGUCAACUCUUGGUCAACCGUUGGCCAACCAGGACACUGCAGGCCUUCGUGGCCACCACGGAAUGCGGUUGGCUCAUGGUCAACUCUUGGUCAACUGUUGGUCAACGGUCGGUCAACUACUGGUCAACCCUUGGUCAACCGCUGGUCAACUGUCAGUCAACUAGUGGUCAACUCUUGGUCAACUGCUGGUCAACUACCAGUCAACUCUUGGUCAACCGUUGGUCAAACAUUGGUCAACUCUUGGUCAAGCACUGGUCAACCACCAGUCAACUACUGGUCAACUCUUGGUCAACCGCUGGUCAACUACUGGUCAACUCUUGGUCAACUGGCGGUCAACCACCAGGCAACUACUGGUCAACUCUUGGUCAACCGUUGGUGAAGCGUUGGUUAACUACCAGUCAACUGCCGGUCAACUCUUGGUCAACUGUUGGUCAAACAUUGGUCAACUCUUGGUCAACCACUGGUCAACUACCAGUCAACUACUGGUCAACCACUGGUCAACCA